CAGAAUGAAGGCUAUAGGAACGGAGAGGAGGAGGGGUUCACACACAGAAUGAAGGCUAUUAGAACGGAGAGGAGGAGGGAUUCACACACAGAAUGAAGGCUAUUAGAACGGAGAGGUUCACACACAGAAUGAAGGCUAUUAGAACGGAGAGGAGGAGGGAUUCACACACAGAAUGAAGGCUAUAGGAACGGAGAGGAGGAGGGAUUCACAUACAGAAUGAAGGCUAUAGGAAUGGAGAGGAGGAGGGGUUCACACACAGAAUGAAGGCUAUAGAAACGGAGAGGAGGAGGGAUUCACACACAGAAUGAAAGCUAUUAGAACAGAGAGGAGGAGGGAUUCACACACAGAAUGAAGGCUAUAGGAACGGAGAGGAGGAGGGGUUCACACACAGAAUGAAGGCUAUUAGAACGGAGAGGAGGAGGGAUUCACACACAGAAUGAAGGCUAUAGGAACGGAGAGGAGGAGGGGUUCACACACAGAAUGAAGGCUAUAGGAAUGGAGAGGAGGAGGGGUUCACACACAGAAUGAAGGCUAUAGGAAUGGAGAGGAGGAGGGGUUCACAAACAGAAUGAAGGCUAUUAGAACAGAGAGGUUCACACACAGAAUGAAGGCUAUUAGAACGGAGAGGAGGAGGGAUUCACACA